AAUGUAGAUUAAUUGGUUAAAUUUUUUGUCUUCCAAAUAAAGCAUAUGAGUUCGAGUCUCAUUAUU
rnacentral:tRNA from 13 species